rnacentral:rRNA from 1 species
AAUCAACGCUGGCGGCGUGCCUCAGACAUGCAAGUCGAACGAUUAAAGCUCUCUUCGGAGAGUGUAUAGAGUGGCGCACGGGUGAGUAACACGUAAGUAAUCUACCCUCGAGUGGGGAAUAACAACCGGAAACGGUUGCUAAUACCGCAUAAUGCAGCGGCACCGCAAGGUGACAGUUGUUAAAGAUUUAUCGCUUGAGGAGGAGCUUGCGGCAGAUUAGCUAGUUGGUAGGGUAACGGCUUACCAAGGCUACGAUCUGUAACCGGUCUAAGAGGGCGGUCGGUCACACUGACACUGAAUAACGGGUCAGACUCCUACGGGAGGCAGCAGUCGGGAAUUUUGGGCAAUGGGCGAAAGCCUGACCCAGCAACGCCGCGUGAAGGAUGAAGUAUUUCGGUAUGUAAACUCCGAAAGAAUAGGAAGAAUUAAUGACGGUACUAUUUAUAAGGUCCGGCUAACUACGUG